ensembl:lncRNA
CGAGUUUUGGCGAGUGAUCGUGAGUAUGCUCUUUACAUCUGAAUUUGCUUUUUUGUGUAAUAUUUUCAUAACUUGGAGAAAAUUCUGCUUUGUGAUAAAUAAACAGGUGUGCUACACAGUGGAGGGCCGUCAUGGAGGCUGAUAUGUAAAUUAAUAAUGAUGAAAGCUAUAAGACUCAUUUGAGUAAUACGAUUUUUGAACAUUAGUAAGUUAGUUGCACAACAUUUUGCAGUAAAUCAAAGGAACAAAUCUUGCGGUGCCAAAUACAGACUAUGACCGUUUUAAACAUUUAUUCAUAAAUAUAGAGCUCUGCAGACGUUAUCUUGUCUAUGUGAGAAACUCAAUCCACCCCUCCUUUAUUAUGAUAAAUUCUGAAUACUGAAAGCUUUAAUAGUUUAAUAGUUAUCUCUUACAAUGAUCAUAAGGAGGUAUACAUUUACAUUAUAAGCAUCUGAGUUCUGCACAUUAAUUGGUAAAAUAAUAUUAAUAAAAACUCCACUUGUUGACCCCCACUGUGCAUAAGCUAAAUAAUAUUAAUAAAACUCCACUUGUGGACCCCCACUGUGCAUGGACACUGUAAUACUGUACCUGUAAAAGAAAAAGAACUUACAUCACCAACUUCCAGGCUCUUAAAUGUUUACUAUUAUAUAUCGAUUUCCUUUCUCUUUUCUGCCACUGUAUUUUACAGAUAUAACGACAAAGGCAGUAUUGUUCAUUUCUUUGAUCACAUUUCACCAUCGAAUCACACAUCAACAUGACUAUGUCAACCAUCCCCACCAGUUUUGCUGAGAGUGCAGUGCAGUCCUCAUCUUCUGAGCUCUUAGAUGAGCUCACCACUGCCCUCGCUGCAGGAAGGUGGUGGGCAAUAAUGGAGGUCUCCUCUCCUUUAUCUGAGGAGCCUGAAUAUGGGGACCUCACCUUACUCAGGUCCCUGUACUCAGGCUUCUCAGAUGCAACACUGAGUGCACCCAUACCUCCCAGGUCCCAAAAGGGAGCACCUGUGCCUGCCUAUGCUGAGAAGAGGGACCACACCUCGUCCCUGGUCUUCAGCAAUGCAUUGGAGAAGGCUGAGUCUCUGCACUCAGGCUUCUCAGAUGCAAAGCUGAAGACCACGGAGCAACAGAGGAAGUGGAGGCAGAAGAAGCCUCAGGGAGCACCUGUGCUUGCUGGGUCCGAGAAGGCUGAGUGUGGGAACUUACUGAAGACCACUAAGCAGGUGAGGCAAGAGUGGAGACAGAAGAAGCCUCAGGGAGCACCUGUGCCUGGUGGCUCCCCCCAGGGACAUCCUGUGCCCACUGGGUCCCAACAACGUGGAAAACUCAGGAUCCCUGAACAUCUGAGGCAGCACCUGCUACAGGCCGCUAAUGAACUGGGAGCACCUGUGCCUGCUAGAUCCCCACAGGGACCACCAGUGCCUUCAAAGUUUCUACAAAGAGAACCUGUGCCUGUCUCAAAGGUGCAAAAAUUAAAGAUCCCUGAGCCACUAAGGCAGAAGCUGCAGCAGCAGAAGCCUCAAGCCUCUUCUGACAAGGGAGCACCUGUACUCAACAAGACCCCAGAGAGGCAGAGGCUAAAAAUCCUUGAGCCACUGAGGCAAGAGCUGCUGCAGCUGUCGCACCGAGCCUCAUCUGUGAAGGGAGAACUUAUGCCUCAAAAGACCCAGGAGAAGCAGAGGCUCAAGAUACCUGAGCAGCUGAGGCAGGAGCUGCUGCAGGUGUCACCCAGACCCUCUUCUGAGAAGGGAGCACCUGUACCCAACAAGACCCCAGAGAGGCAGAGGCUAAAAAUCUCUGAGCCGCUGAGGCAGGAGCUGCUGCAGGUGUCACCCAGAGCCUCUUCUGAGAAAGGAGCACCCGUACCCAACAAGACCCCAGAGAGGCAGAGGCUGAAAAUCCCUGAGCCGCUGAGGCAGGAGCUGCUGCAGCUGUCGCACCGAGCCUCAUCUAUGAAGGGAGAACUUGUGCCUCAAAAGAGCCAGGAGAAGCAGAGGCUCAAGAUACCUGAGCAGCUGAGGCAGGAGCUGCUGCAGGUGUCACCCAGAGCCUCUUCUGAGAAGGGAGCACCCGUGCCCAUAAAGACUGCAGAGAGGCAAAGGCUUAAAAUACCAGAGCCGCUGAGGAAGGAAUUGCUCCAGCAGAAGCCCCAAGCCUCUCCUGCAGAUGAUAAACCUGUGUCUUCCAAGUCCCCACAGGAAGUACCUUUACCUGACAGGAACCCUGUACAUACCGGGACCUCACAGGGAGCAGGAGUGCUUGCCAGUUCUCCACUGCCCACUGGGUGUCUGAAGGAAGCAGCAGUGCCCACCAGAACCACAAAGGCAGGAAAACGGAGGCUUGCUGAGCAUCUGAGCAUGCCUGUCUCUUCCACCCAGGGAUUAUCUAUGCCCUCCAGGACCUCAAAAGUGGCGCCUGUGUAUUCUGGGACCUUACAGGGAGCACUUGUGACAAGAAGCUCCCCACGACAGGGAGCAAACCCUAGAAUCACAGAGCAGCAGAAGCAGAAGCGGAGGGAGCAGUGGAGACAGCAGCAGAGACAGCGGAGGCAGCAGAAGGCAUCAGACAAUAUAGAUGUGUGUGAGCCUCCGCAAAAAAUACUCUGUGUGGAAAUCGACAAGGUGCCACUGAAGCCUAAACUGGGGAGGCAGAACCAUCAAGCCCCACAGCCCAUGUCCCAGCUCACCCUGAAGAUGGACAAUGUAAGUGUGAGCUGGUCACCUCCAGAAAAAAGGGAGCGCAUGGUGAGCAAAAUCAGAGACCAACAACUGGGGCCAGGCAGCUUAAAGCAUUUAUGUAGUAUAUUCAUAUGUUUAAUGGAAUAUAUUUAAAUAUUUAGUAUUUAUGUGUAUUGUGUUUGGAUUGAUUUAAUAUGAUUGUGCGUAUAAUAAAAAAUAAAAUCUAAACUUUGCA